rnacentral:lncRNA from 1 species
GCGAAUAUUCACAAGGUGUAUCACUUAUCAGUGGAUGGAAUAUGUUGCUGUAGGUGUAAAUGUUGACAGAGAUAUUCCUAAAAAUGUAUUAAUGAAACACAGUUUAAAAUUAUUUGUAAAAAAGUGCGUUUACCUUGUCAACCGUUUGCUCGUGUCAGUAUGGUAUCCGAAGUGAUUUGACAUUAUCUCAAAUGAUACAACUUCAUAGGGAUUUGACUUCUAAAUUAACAAGUACUUUUGUUCGUGUCGUAAAAGCCUGGAAAAUAUCUAUAACAAUCGAAACAAAAUUGCCCAUCCUCCCGGAAAGUAGCAUCAACAAUGUCACUUUUUCGGACAUUUGGAAUGAAACAGCAACCAACAUACUUGAAAUAGCAAAAGCUUUAAACAAACAAGAACAAUAUGAUUCACAAUUAACAAAAUUAAGAGAUGAGCCAACCAACAAGGAUUCGUUGAUAACUCUGUUAUUAAACUUGCGUAAAUCAUCAGAUCACG